GUUUUAUUUUCGUAGCAUGUCCUUUCAACCAUACUCACCAAUUGUUUAAGCCUGAGUUUUCUUUCUUUAAAAAAGUUUUUUUAUUUAUUUCAUGCAUAAUGGUGUUUUGGCUGAACAUAAUACGUCUGCGCACAGUAUGUCCACUGUAAGGCGACAAGGUGUCUGACCCCUCUGGAACCGGAGUUACAGACAGGUGUGAGUGGCCAUUUGAGCACGCUGGUUCCUCUGGAAGUCUAGUCACUAACCUCUUCACCACUAAGCCAUUUCUACACGCCCCCUAGGCCAAAGUUUUCAAAUGUUCAGUGGAAGGCAGUGUUUGGUCAGAAAGCAAGAACUCUGGUCACCUGGUUCUGGCCGCCAUCACCAUUUUUGCACCUAAAUAAAGUAGCUGAUGGCGGUUUCCUCAUUUGUGCAGUGCAUUAGCUCUCACACAGGACAAGCAAGGCUGCAGACGUCACACAUGCUCACUUGCUGAGGGUCCCUUGCUUCUACAUUAAGGACUGGCUGCCGCAGGCGUGGAGAGCUGCGUGCGCAGAGCCUCCCUUGUCUAAGAAGCCAGCGUCUCCGUUGCCAGGGGAACGGGGCGCGCUUUCCGGCGCGGUCGCCGCGCGAAGCAGCUGUCAUGGCGGAAGCCGUCUGGAGCACUGACACCGGCGAGGCCGUGUAUCGCUCCCGGGACCCCGUGCGCAACCUGCGCCUCCGAGUUCAUCUGCAAAGAAUCACAUCAAGCAACUUCCUUCAUUACCAGCCUGCUGCCCAGAUGGGGAAGGACCUCAUAGACUUGGCCACUUUUAAGCCUCCUCAAGCUGCUAGUGGACACCGCCCUGAUGAAGAAGAGGAGGAAGAAGUUAUAAUUGGGUGGCAGGAGAAGCUGUUUAGCCAGUUUGAAGUUGACCUGUACCAAAAUGAAUCCGCGUGUCAGAGCCCAUUAGAUCAUCAGUACCGCCAAGAGGUCCUGAAGCUGGAGAAUUCUGGUGGCAGGAAAAACCGGCGAAUCUUCACUUACACCGACUCGGAUAGAUACACCGACUUAGAAGAGUACUGUCAGAAGAUAACCACUUCAGCCAGCGAGGCACCAUCGUUUCUGGUUGAGCGGAUGGCGAAUGUCAGGCGGCGGCGCCAGGACAGGCGAGGGGUGGAGGGCAGCAAACUCAAGUCUCGAAUCAUCACAUGGGAGCCCUCAGAAGACUUCAUCAGGAACAGCCAUGCUAUUAACACCCCUCUUCAGACAAUGUAUAUCAUGGCAGACCUGGGGCCGUAUGGGAAGCUUGGCUAUAAGAUACAUGAACAUGUCCUCUGCGUCCUGAAGGUGGAUAGCAAUGGAGUGAUCACAGUGAAGCCCGACUUCACUGGCAUCAAAGGACCCUACAGAAUCGAGACUGAGGGAGAGAAGCAGGAACACACAUCUGCUUGGAAAUACACAAUUGACAACGUGUCCUCCCUCGCACAACCAGAGGAGGAAGAGCGGGAGCAGCGUGUGUUCAAGGACCUUUAUGGCCGCCACAAGGAGUACCUCAGCAGCCUCGUGGGCACAGACUUUGAGAUGAUUGCCCCGGGUGCCCUCCGGCUCUUUGUGAAUGGAGAGGUAGUCUCAGCCCGAGGCUAUGAGCAUGACAACCUCUAUGUCCACUUCUUUGUGGAGCUGCCAGCUACGAACUGGUCCAGCCCAUCAUUCCAGCAGCUCUCGGGAGUAACCCAGACCUGUGUCACCAGAUCCCUGGGAAUGGUAUGGAGGGACAAGGUGGCCUAUUUCUCCUUUCCAUUCACGUUUGAAGCCUUCUUCCUCCAUGAGGAUGAAUCAGAUGAAUCACUCCCAGAGUGGCCCGUGCUCUACUGUAAGGUCCUCUCACUGGACUUCUGGCAGAGGUAUCGUGUGGAAGGCUACGGGGCUGUGGUGCUGCCUGUCACCCCAGGAUCACACACCUUGACUGCCUCCACGUGGAGGCCCAUGGAGCUGGGCCUCGUGGCAGAGCUAAGGAGGUUCUUCAUUGGUGGCUCCCUGGAGCUGGAGGACCCAUCCUAUGUGAGGAUACCAGGAACCUUCAAGGGGGAGCGGCUGAGCCGCUUUGGAUUCCGCACUGAGACGACGGGUACGGUCACCUUCCGGCUGCACUGCCUGCAGCAGUCCCGGGCUUUCAUGGAAUCGAACUCCCUCCGGAAACAAAUGAGGAGUGUGUUGGACCGUCUGGAAGGAUUCAGCCAGCAGAGUUCCACACACAACGUGCUAGAAGCAUUCCGUCGAGCCCGGCGCCGCAUGCAGGAGGCCCGAGAGAGCCUCCCCCAAGACCUUGUGAGCCCCACAGGGACGCUGGCCUAGCUCUCUGCAACCUGACCUGUGCAGCAAGGAAAAGAUGUCUGCAUCCAGCGCUCUCACUUUAUCUUGCUUAUUAGAGACCACACUGGUCUACCAAACUGGAUGAUCUAGAAACUUCCAGCUGGCUCCUCUGCGUAGCCUUCAGCAGGGCUUGCUUUCUUCCAUGUAGAAACAAGGCUGAGACCUGGGACCCCACGUUACAGCCUGUUCUUGUUUUGGCUGUCAAACAUGGGCAUCAUAACAAAGCCGGCUGUGUAGUCUGCAGCUCCAUAUGGGGUAAACCCAGCAUUAGCCUGUCCUCAAUACAGUGUCUUUCCUGGUUUGUCAUGGAGCCUCCGAGGCAGAGAGCUCUAAAAUGGAGUUUGGCAGCCAGGAGUAACGGUGCACACCUUUCAUCCCAGUACUCAGGAGGCAGAGGCAGGAGGAUAUCUAUGAAUCAGAGCUCAGCCUGGUCUACAUAUUGAGUUCCAGGACAGCCAGAGCUACAUAGUGAGACCUGAUCUCAAAACAAAAAAACAAAAGCAAAACAACAGCAGCAGCAACAAGAUGGAGUUUGGCAUAUUCCAAGGAGGAAGAUGCAUUCGAGAGCUCAGUCUCCUGCUUCUUCCAAGGAAAGUGUUUCUUAAUUAAAACUCCAGAAGAGACCAUGUGGCGAGUCCCAGGCUGCAUUUUAGCAGCCCUCGUCUUUACUAUGCGGGGCAAAGCUUUGGACCAAGGUUACCUUCUCCCCAGCCCAACAGAGAGACAGCAGGCCCUGCCCUUGCAUUGUUUUAUUGGUAGAAGAAGUAUCAGUGCUGCUGUUCCUGCGGGCCCCGAGGAAGAUGGGAUAGCUGAGAGCCAGGACUGUGGCCUUCCAGUCAUGCUGGGGGGCAGGGGCAGAAGAAGGUGCUGGAAGCCCUCCCGCAGUGUCUUGCUGAGACCUCAAAGUCUUAUGGCCCGGCUCAUAGGCUCCUAUAUCUGGUGCUGAUUCAUAGCCUGAUAUCUAAGAGGUUCCCAAGGUAAGUGGGCCUGUUGCCAUAGCACCCUUGAUACUCUCAACCAGCAAAGCCAGCUCUCAGUGUAACCAGCAAAAGCUCCAGCAGGAAACAGUGGUUUGCGGGGGAGAGAGCAGCCUCAUGAUCUCCCCGUUGCCCUCAUCUCCAAGGCUUGGGGUCCUGGCGUAGAAUCCUGUGGGAAUAGCAGAAAUAAAUAGAUGAGGAAUUUGUUGGAUAUCCAAAGAGCUGUUUUAGGAGUUGUGACAAAACUGAAGUCAGUUAAAUACUUCUGAUUGUCCCUCUCCUCACCCCACCAAGUCCUAGACCCCAGAACUGACUGUCAGCCCAGAAGCUAGCAUUCUUGGAAGCCACUAGGAAAGAGUACUGUGUUCCUAUCGAUGAAGUGUAUUGUCACUGUUUAGUGGAUGGGAUGUCUUAUUCCACGGAGAGGUGCUAGGGCCUGACCCGUUCCAGAUCUCCCCUUACCUGCAGAAGCCUCAUUUGCCUCGCCAGGCUGACAGGUUCAACUUGGGAAUACGGCUACAGCUCACAAAACCCUGUGGGUAGAUGUUAGCCCUGAAGAUGUCCCUCGAAACGGUGCUGAUGCCAGUAUUGUCGCACACAAUCCGAGAUAAAGAAAUUCGCCUCAGGGCUUUGCGUUGUCUUUUGGUGAAAACGCCCCAUUUCUGCCACCAGAAUCUGUCGGUCAAAGAGAACUGUGAGAAGGUUGGGGAGUCACUGUGCAGUGAGCACCUCGCGUGUGCCUGACACUCAGGUACUCCAUUUCAUCCACUUUCCAUAAUCCUGCCACUUCCGUAAGUGAACUGCCCAGAAGUAAGAAUACAGCAGUCUAAGCAGUCAGGAAUGGACUUGAACUCAUGCAUAGGCCACAUCCAAAUAAGGAGUCAGGUCUUAAGCCACAAGCUCACUAGAGGGAAAUCAGGUUUAGCUCUUUCUGCCCACAUCUUCUGGGAUCCACUAGCAUAGAACAUCGAGGCUGUCUAGUCGCUGUUCUGGCCUAUGGAAGCUCCAAUCUUGUCUGGGGCAGCAUUUCUUUUCCUCAGCCCCACUUUGCCCGGAGAAGCCUCCUGGUCUCAGAUCCUGAGACCUUUGGAGAAAUGAAGCUUGAAAGGGUGCUUUCUCCAUUGUCCAGCCUCUCAGUGCUGUAUCUGUCCAGUGCUGGGUUAUUUUAGCCUUUGGGCCACUUACCUGUCUCCGUCUCGGGCUCUUCUGAACUGGUUCUCAAAAAGACAAGCCAGAAGAGGCCCCACUCGGGCCCCCGGCAGAAGAGGCUCUGCUAUGGCUCCCACCCAGAUGUCAAUGUUGUCGGGCGUCUUGUACAGGUUCAGAAACUUCCUUGCCAAAUUCCGAUUUUUUAGCACCCGACUAAGCUGGGCUAAGUUUCGGGGCUGGGAAAGGCCACAGAAGCGCCUCCAGGCAUUGUAUCCUGUAAGGGGAGCCCAGUCAGAGCCACACCGUCAGUCUCUCAUUAGUUUCUGCUGCUCCCCACAGAUCCUCCAAAGUAUAUUUGUGGUUGGUACUGGAUGGAACCAGAAGAUCCCGGAGGUCUAAACACUAGAUCACUGCCCUCUCUAGACUGUAGGUGGACAGUCUUGUUUCGUGUGUGCUGGGCUGAGCAGUGUGUCCUGAUGUACAAAGCCCACAGAUGCAAAUUUGGUCUUGUGCAUGUGUUCACAUGUUGUGGGGGUGUGCAUGCAUCCAGAGGUUAAAGGUGAGCAUUAGGUGUCAUUUGUUAGACACUGUCUUUUUUUUUUUUUUUAAUUUGCCUGGAGCUCAUCAACUAACCUAGACUGGCCAGCCAGAGAACCCCAGGCUUCUGCCUGUCUCUGCCUCCCAAGCACUUGGGAUUACAAAAAUAUGCCACCCAUGCCUGGCAUUUUCUUUUAAAAAAGUGGUUUAUGGGGAAUGAACUCAGAUCCUCAUGCUUGCUGGGCAAGCAAGCCUUUUACUAACCCUGACCCCCACAGAUCUGACAUUUAAUAUCAUGAUUGAUCUACACACAUUUUAUAGGCACACUAUUCGGAACGUUCCUAAAAAUAAGGUUUGAAGAGUACGUGAAGGGAUGAUUAAAUGAGAAAACAAACAACAGUUUCCAGACAUCUAAACUGUGUCAGGUUUUAUUAUCACUAAGUGUUAUGUACCUCUUAAGACAGCACGGUACCUUUGUGAAGUACCCUGCAGUACGUGUACUUAAGUCUACACAGUCAUAGGCUGUUCAGGGUCUACUAACUGGAGUUCAAAGCUGGCAGUACAAUUCUAGACUUGCUGUUGUCUGGGGAAGGGACUAGAGGAGACUGCAAAAGCCAUUUCAGGAUGGUAUUUCUGAAAUGGCUUGUAGGGAACAGCUGUUUAUAGGGAACAGAAAGUUACACUGUGAUAAUCUGAGUGGCUAGCAACACCAGCCUUCCAGCAGGGGGCGCCAACAGCUCCUUAGCUGUCAGGAGCAUUAAGUUAAGACUGCCAGGGAAAUCACUCUGCUUGCCACACAAGUAUAAGGACUUCCCGAAUUGAAUCUCCAGAACUCAGGUUUAAAUAUAUAUUAUAGGCAAGGUCAUGCACACUUCUAGUUCUAGUGCUGGAGAGACAGAGGUAGGCAGAUUUGGGGUGCACUGACCACUCAACUCAGCCUGCAUGGUGAGCUCUAGGCCAGUGAGAGACACUGCCUCAAAAAUACAAGGCAGAGCUGAGUGGUGGUGGCACACCUUUAAUCCCAACACUCGGUGGGAGAGUGGGGCAGAGGGAGGCAGAUCUCUGAGCCAGCCUGGUCUACAGAGUUAGUUCCAGGACUAUACAGAGAGAUCAUGUCUUGAAAAAAAAAAGAAACAAACAAACAAAUGCAUACAUACAUGCAUGCAUGCAUACAUACAUACAUACAUACAUACAUACAUACAUACAUGGUAGAGGGCAGCUGAGGAAUAACACCUGAGAUUGGCUUCUAACUUCCAUGUGGGUCCCACAGACAUGCACAGAGAGAGCGGAGAGAGAAGGAAGAAGAAAAAGAAACCGGGGUUGGGGAUUUAGCUCAGUGGUAGAGCACUUGCCUAGGAAGAGCAAGGCCCUGGGUUCGGUCCCCAGCUCCGAAAAAAAAGAACCAAAAAAAAAAAAAAAAAAAAGAAA